rnacentral:rRNA from 1 species
GCCCUUAGUUUGCUCCGCGGCUCCGGUUCCUUCGUAAGCGUGGGCGCUCUCGAACGCUCCUUCUCCCCCUCCGGCCCUCCCUACCGCCGCCCCCGCCGCGGCGUCCCCCGCGGCUGCCACCUCCUCGUCCUCCUCCGCCGCCCCCACCCCUAGGACGACGUCUAUAGCUACGACCACGACCGCAAGCACGAGUCGGUGGAGGAGGCGGCGGCGUCCCAGAUGAUGGAGGGGCUCCGGUCGCGCAGCGAGGAGUAGCCCAACUAGCACCCUCCCGAACGAUCGCAUAGAUUGCGGGUCUUUUCAUGUUCCUCUACCAAGUUAAAGGCCCUCCUCGAGAAGAAAGACAAGAACGACGGAGGAUAAUAUAAGGUCAGGCCGAAGUCGAAUCGUGGUUUUGGUAAGAAGAGUUUGAAACCACGAUAAUAAUGAAAACGUUAACAACCUUGGAAUUAACGGAGGUAACAGUGCCCACAAAAUCAGAUGGAACGACCCAAUUAUGUAGAACAGAUAUCCUACGGAGACCAACUCACAUACUACAAACCACGGGAACACAGUCGUUGACUAGGACAUUGACACAACAGCUAUAAAGUCCUUGAACGGUGCCUACACUUGGAGAUACGUGACCAAAAGCCACUUAGACACGAUUUACUACGAUACCGUUAGAGGAACAUGUCCUGAUACCGUAGAGACUCCUGCUUACGAAGAUCGGUUUUGUAAAAGCAUCAAUAGAACUCCAAAGAACUCUUGAAGAAACCCAGUUACAGUUGUCCACAACCUCGACCUAAAUAAAGACGAGAGGAGAAGUUCAUAAGUUGUGAACCACAACUCUUGGAAAUAUUGGAGCUCUCGACGAACAAACAUCAAAAGGGUAUGAAGAGCAUGUACGAUCGACUUCCGAAACCAGACAGACCGUAUCAGAGUUAUGAGAAAUGACCUUAGCACUACUUCUCUAUGUGUAAGAGUUUGAACAGUCUCCUGAGGGUCGCAAAGUGACGACGUGAAAAGGUAGACGAAAGCAGUAAUCGUCUUUGAAAACACAAGUAUAUAUACCCUAAACUAUAACGCUACCUCGCAGUUUCGACCAGUGUGUAACCCAAGUAUAAAAAGAGUCAAUAGAAGUAUAAUCAACGUUCCCGACGUUUACAAAAGAGUACACGAAAGAACCAUUUAGACCAUGCCGGUGGAGUCGCCGUUUAUAGGUCCGUUAUAGUUGUCCGUGAAACCAUAUCACCAGAAUCUCCCCGAUACCGAAAACGGGAACGAGAAGUUAGACAAGUACUAGAAGGACUGCCGGUACCUGUCUGUUAAAACUCACGAUGGUAUAGAUAACAACAAGAUUGUCAUGAAGACUAACCUCCGAGUUGUUCGUGUUACGAACUUCGAGACGUACAACACCCUCUACCAUUACUUCCAGCAGCGGGAAGAAGUGAACUCCUGGUCCUCUUGAUACUCCCCUUGUUAUUACGCCCGUUGUAUCUUGACCCGUCACUUCUCCCCUGAAGAUGGUGUUCGUUUAAGUUUGACUUUGAGGUUCUUUAGGUCUUUUUGUGCGGCAGGAACCGGCGUAACCUGUCUUUGAUGGAGUGAGGUAAAAAGUGUAGAGUUUUGCCGCUAUCACUACUGCUGCUUGUACCAGGAUUGUCUCUCGGUGCCUCUAGAUUGCUCGACGUUCUGGACCUCUCGGUACCUAAUGGCCGAGCUCUCUGCCCGACUUCUCGGGGUAAAGCUGCCACAGCGCGUUAGCGAAGGCACAGUGGUAAUCAGGUUCCGUCGUAGACUGUGGGGUCGAUUGUUUGUGUCUCCUUUCUGUAUCGUAGAAUACCCGGCAGCUGUUACUAUCGAACGAGGUGUACAUUCAUCUACUAUCCUGGACGUGCAAAUUCAAUGGUCCAAUCAUUACCAUCGUCUACAAAAGGGGUCUGGGGUAUCGUCGAAGAACAUCUGAACAUGACACUACUUGAAAAGGAAAUGUCAACCUACAACUUAGCUGACUAAGAUAGUGGGACUGUUCGUUCCGUAGGUACACAGAAAAGGAAAAAGGAGAAAAAUAAACGGCGUACAAGUCUCGGGUGA